rnacentral:rRNA from 1 species
AUUGAACGCUGGCGGCAUGCUUUACACAUGCAAGUCGAACGGUAACAGGCCUUCGGGUGCUGACGAGUGACGAACGGGUGAGUAAUGCAUCGGAACGUACCCAGACGUGGGUGAUAACGCAUCCAAAGCUGUGCUAAUACCGCAUGUGAUCUGAGGAUGCAAGCGAGGGACCAAGCAGCAAUGAUUGUCCUCGCGGAUUUGGAGCGGCCGAUGUCGGAUUAGCUAGUUGGUGGGAUAAAGGCCUACUAAGGCGACGAUCAGUAGACGGUCUGAGAGAGUGUACGGCCGAAUUGGGAGUGAGACACGGGCCAGACUCCUACGGGAGGCAGCAGUGGGGAAUUUUGCACAAUGGGGGAAACGCUGAUGCAGCGACGCCGCGUGAUUUAGAAGGCCUUCGGGUUGUAAAAAUCUUUUGUAUAGGAAGAAAAUGACAGUACUAUAAGAAUAAGGUCCGGCUAAUUACGUG